rnacentral:misc_RNA from 1 species
AAGGAUCAUUAUUGAUUGCGAAUGGUUGCCUUCUGUGCUGGCCGGCUUCGGCAAGUGCACGUCGGUGGCUUUCAUCCAAUACCCUGUGCACCUUUGGCCUCUGCUAGCUUCGGCCGGCAGAGGAUUUUACACAAACUCGAAUGUAAUGAAAUUUAUUGUCGUGCGCAAGCACUAAUGUACAACUUUCAACAACGGAUCUCUUGGCUCUC